rnacentral:misc_RNA from 1 species
GAUGAAGAACGCAGCGAAAUGCGAUAAGUAAUGUGAAUUGCAGAAUUCAGUGAAUCAUCGAAUCUUUGAACGCACAUUGCGCCCGCUAGUAUUCUGGCGGGCAUGCCUGUUCGAGCGUCAUUUCAACCCUCAGGCCCCCAGUGCCUGGCGUUGGGGAUCGGCCGCUGGCGUCCUUCGGGGCGCCUGGCCGGCCCCGAAAUCUAGUGGCGGUCUCGCUGUAGUCCUCCUCUGCGUAGUAGCACAACCUCGCAGUUGAAACUCGGCGGUGGCCAUGCCGUUAAACACCCCACUUCUGAAAGUUGACCUCGGAUCAGGUAUGAAUACCCGCUGAACUUAAGCAUAUCAAUAAGCGGAGGA